rnacentral:rRNA from 1 species
UACGGGGGGGGCAAGCGUUGUUCGGAAUUACUGGGCGUAAAGGGCUCGUAGGCGGCCAACUAAGUCAUACGUGAAAUCCCCCGGCUUAACCGGGGAACUGCGUCUGAUACUGGAUGGCUUGAGUUCGGGAGAGGGAUGCGGAAUUCUUGGUGUAGCGGUGAAAUGCGUAGAUAUCAAGAGGAACACCUGAGGUGAAGACGGGUUGCUGGGCCGACACCGACGCUGAGUGCGCGAAAGCCAGGGGAGCAAACGGG